UAUCCUUUUGUAAAAUAGUCAGAUUCUUUACUAAACAGUCAGUUCCAUUGUGCCCUCAAUUCUGACACACAUUACACUUUGGUGGAAGCAGCUCACCACAGUUUCCAACUUUGAACCACCCUUGUCCAUAAAUGAUAUAUAUUCUGUACCAAUGGUUUUUGUAAGUUAGCUUCAGCUAAAACUCUAGCCAUAUCUAACCUGAUGGCAACAACAAUGCCCUUUGGUUGGGGUGGUUCUGAAAACUUGUAGACUAAGUUCUCGGCCAUAGUGAACCAAAGUGAGGUUACUCUUUGGUUCUGUGAGACUAAUAAUCACAAAUAUUUAAUGUGCCCUAUACACUGAGAUCAUCAAAACAUUGAGACAUAAUAAAAUGGGCCAAAAGUAGUAUCACAACUUUAGCUUCCCCUCCUCUAGAAAAAUCCGCUGCCUAGGAACCCCCUGCAAAAGUAUUCCUCACAUUCAGCUUCACGCACUCAUACAUGAAUCUUUAUCUAAGUAAUGCUGGAGUUUUCCAAUACCAGAUUCCUGAAGGCUUCUUGCUUUCCUCCCUGAAUGUGGAAAAUCCUUAUUAAUUGUUAAUAAACCGGACAGCGAGUUAAGAAGCAAGCACCAUUGGUAAACAAUAUAUAUUUACCGAGAUUUUCCAGAGAAGGCAUCAUUUAUUUGGUCAGGGGUUGGCCUUUCAGAGUAUGUUGAUAUCAAUACAUACUUUUCCUUUCCAUUUUCCUCAGUCACCCUCUUGUAAAGCUCAUACCGGUAAGGAUAAGACAUCCUGACCAUAUAUUCAGUGUAAAAGAUUCAGAGGCAAUUUUUGUGCUUUUCUUGAUAUUAUAUUCACAUCCAAAAGGUACCUUAGAGCGCCCAUAAUCGGGUAUUGUGUUCCAGCAUAAUAAAGUAGCCGAAAUACAUAGCAGUUGUCAAAUGUUAAGGCGUAUUCCAGCCUUUUUUCCCUGCCCAUUGUCUGAGACACAUAAAUAAAUAAUGGUAAGCAACGUAACCUUAUUUUCAGAUGGUUUUAUGUAAAUCACUGUGUGUGCUUACUUGCAUUAUGCCACUUGAAGCGGGUAAGUCCUGAAUAAUAAUGUAUGGUUACCCACAAGAGAUAGUGGUAUUUUUAACAGAUAAAGUUUAUUUUAUCAAAAAGUGAAAGCAGAAAGUGUACCUUGAGGCGAGGAUUAAUAAGUACAACUGGCCUCUUACCAGCAGCACUAGUCAUCGCUUGUAGAUCCUAACCAAAUGUAUAUAUUUUAUAGGAUGGGGGUUAAUACGUUGAAGUGAAUGAAAAUGCCUAGAAGUUCUAAGCUCCUUACAUCUAUGAUACAAUUUCCAACGGCAUUUUGUGGAGCCACUAAGAUGAAAAGGUCGUCUUCUUCAUCAACUUCUUUACCACCUGAGAAUCAAUAGCAGGAUAAUUUGUGUUAAUUGUAUCCAACUUGAUUAUGCAUCACAAGUUUCUACACUACAAAUUCUUGUAAGAUUCUCUUGUGUUUAAACAUGGUUUUUUGUUGAAAACUACAGUCAGUUUCGGAUGUUACCAAUUGCACCAAGCUUGACGAAAGUUCCCAAAGUUUCAUCAUCACCCCAGUCCAUAUAUUCUAAAAUCUUUCGAGUUCCCGCCAACUGCAGUGGCAUCCCAGCGAGUGCACCUUCCCCCAUUGACCCCUGAACGCAAACCUGGAAGAGGAAAGAAGCUUAAUUAACAAAUAAUUUCAAAUAAGUCUUCAAGACCAUGUCUUACCUUCACUCUUUUUCCAUCAUCAGCGAAUGAUAAAGCUAGAGUUCGCACCAGUUCCAUCAAGGUUCCUAUCCGGUAAACAUCCUACGUAUAUCACAAAUAGCAUAAAAUUAAUGAGGCUUCAGAAACACUAUAACACAGCUAGUAAAACGAAUAACUUACCAUUUCAGGAUUUAGCUCAGGGAUAUUUAUGUCUACCAGCCAGGUCGCUCGCGAAGAAACUACCCGGGAGCGACCUCUCGCAGCGACGUGCCGAGGUCGCUCCGCGUCUAUUUAUUUGGCGAAUUCAUGAUUUCUCAAGGGCCUUUUGGUCAUUUUAUUAUGCACGUUUUUACUUUUCAAAAACCUAUGUUUUAAGUACUUUUGUAAGCCACCAGAAAAUAAUCUCCUUUCUGAAGAACAACCAGAAACAACUUCUUUUGAUUCAGAUUUCAUUGCUCUCAUGUUCUUGUUGAUUUCUUAUCUAUUUCUCUACAUGAUUAAUUUGAAAUCCACCAUGGGUUUAAGAGGAAUCAUGGAGAUUAGUGAGUAAUCACCUUUUGAAUUCAUGGGUUAGGGAGAUCAAGGGUGAUUAGGUUAGUUCUAGGAUGUUUUAGUGUAGAUCAUUCUUGUUCUUUGCUAGCAGAGUAUUCAUAAUGCAUCUUCUGAGUUGGCCACUCAAAAGUUGAUCAAUAGGCAUUUCCCACCCAAAAGGUGUUUGAUGAAAUGCCUGAGACAACUCUCCUAGGCUUUUAGUAUACUUUGCCAAAGACAUGUGUUGUUAAAGAUGCUAAGAUAGCUAAUAGACUUGUUAGUAAUGAUUGCUUUUACAUUAUUCAACCAAAGACAUUUGAUGUUUGAGAUAUGUUAGCAAAUGAGCAUUCAUCUAGACAUAGAGCUUGUUUAGAAUUAUGUCUAGGCUUAAGGUUGAUAGUUUGAUUGAUCGUUUGCCAUCCUUAGUUCGAAACUUGAUCACCCAAGGUCUAAUCCAUAUGCCCAUGAGUUCUGUUUUCCCUUAGUAAAGAAAAUCAUUUCAUUUAUCAUUAAUCAUUAGUUUAAAAACCUCUUAAAUUAUCGGUUGCACUUAGAUUAAGUGAGUACUUGCAUUCUCGGUGCUUUGAUAUUCCUCAGAACUGGUUCGACAAUCACUAUACUACAACAUUUGUCUUACGAGCCUUGAAAACUCCUAACAUCACAAAUCAACGUGGAUUCAAACACCAACCAAAAACACUGACAAAGUAAAGGCAAUAAUAUAUGUUAAAUCAAGAUUCAAGAAGCCUAAACCCCAAAAGGGAACUACACUGGAGAAAAGUAAUUUCAAAACAAUUAAAGAUGUCAUGGCUGCGGUUUGCCUAAUGUUAUCACACGUUUUAACUGUUAGAGAAGAGGACAUAUGGCUAGGAAAUGUCCAAAUUAGUGAGUGAUGAUCCUCGUUGUAACUGGAGACUAUGAGUUCAAGACAUGGAGGAGAACCACGAUGAGCAAUAAGAGAAAACAUUUGCAACUUGCACUUUCCUUACUUUAUCCUUUUGUAAAAUAGUCAGAUUCUUUACUAAACAGUCAGUUCCAUUGUGCCCUCAAUUCUGACACACAUUACACUUUGGUGGAAGCAGCUCACCACAGUUUCCAACUUUGAACCACCCUUGUCCAUAAAUGAUAUAUAUUCUGUACCAAUGGUUUUUGUAAGUUAGCUUCAGCUAAAACUCUAGCCAUAUCUAACCUGAUGGCAACAACAAUGCCCUUUGGUUGGGGUGGUUCUGAAAACUUGUAGACUAAGUUCUCGGCCAUAGUGAACCAAAGUGAGGUUACUCUUUGGUUCUGUGAGACUAAUAAUCACAAAUAUUUAAUGUGCCCUAUACACUGAGAUCAUCAAAACAUUGAGACAUAAUAAAAUGGGCCAAAAGUAGUAUCACAACUUUAGCUUCCCCUCC
rnacentral:lncRNA from 1 species